rnacentral:rRNA from 1 species
CCUACGGGAGGCAGCAGUGAGGAAUAUUGGUCAAUGGACGAGAGCCUGAACCAGCCAAGUAGCGUGAAGGAUGACUGCCCUACGGGUUGUAAACUUCUUUUAUAUGGGAAUAAAAUGUUCCACGUGUGGGAUUUUGUAUGUACCAUAUGAAUAAGGAUCGGCUAACUCCGUGCCAGCAGCCGCGGUAAUACGGAGGAUCCGAGCGUUAUCCGGAUUUAUUGGGUUUAAAGGGAGCGUAGGUGGAUUGUUAAGUCAGUUGUGAAAGUUUGCGGCUCAACCGUAGAAUUGCAGUUGAAACUGGCAGUCUUGAGUACAGUAGAGGUAGGCGGAAUUCGUGGUGUAGCGGUGAAAUGCUUAGAUAUCACGAAGAACUCCGAUUGCGAAGGCAGCUCACUAGACUGCAACUGACACUGAGGCUCGAAAGUGUGGGUAUCAAACAGGAUUAGAUACCCUUGUAGUC